rnacentral:misc_RNA from 1 species
UCCGAGUUGACCCCGGCAGUCUCCUAUGAGUCCCCGACAUCACUCGCUGGUAACAUGGAACAGGGGUUGCGCUCGUUGCGCCACUUAAGGCAACACCUCACGGCACGAGCUGACGACAACCAUGCAACACCUGUGCGGGCUCCCGAAGGAGCACCGUGUUUCCACGGUUUCACCCCGCAUGUCAAGCCCAGGUAAGGUUCUUCGCGUCGCAUCGAAUUAAGCCACAUGCUCCGCCGCUUGUGCGGGCCCCCGUCAAUUCCUUUGAGUUUUAGCCUUGCGGCCGUACUCCCCAGGCGGGGUGCUUAAUGCGUUAGCUACGGCACGGAACGGGUCGAUCCCCGCCCCACACCUAGCACCCAUCGUUUACGGCUAGGACUAC